rnacentral:rRNA from 1 species
UACGUAGGGGGCAAGCGUUGUCCGGAAUCAUUGGGCGUAAAGAGCGUGUAGGCGGCCAGAUAAGUCCGCUGUGAAAUCUCGAGGCUCAACUUCGAGCUGUCGGUGGAAACUGUCUGGCUAGAGUCCGGAAGAGGAGAAUGGAAUUCCUGGUGUAGCGGUGAAAUGCGCAGAUAUCAGGAAGAACACCCGUGGCGAAGGCGGUUCUCUGGGACGGUACUGACGCUGAGGCACGAAAGCAUGGGGAGCAAACAGG